UGGCCGUGCCCCUCAGCUGUAAAUAGUAGGUGCCAAUAAAUACAAAGUAGUUGUGUGUCAAAACAAAUGAUAAUAGUUCUAGUAUAGUUCUAGUAGACAUUUCUUAUGGGGAGGUGAGUAUUUAGAUAAUUUAUCAAGAAUGUAGGAGUUGGCCUUUAUCCCUAUGUUGUGUGUGAUGUUAUUGUACAGAGAUACUAGGUCCAGACUUGUGAGUAGAGUGUAAGGGGGUACUACCAA